AUUGAACGCUGGCGGCAUGCCUUACACAUGCAAGUCGAACGGCAGCACGGGAGCAAUCCUGGUGGCGAGUGGCGAACGGGUGAGUAAAGUAUCGGAACGUGCCCAGUCGUGGGGGAUAACGCAGCGAAAGUUGUGCUAAUACCGCAUACGAUCUAUGGAUGAAAGCGGGGGAUCGCAAGACCUCGCGCGAUUGGAGCGGCCGAUAUCAGAUUAGGUAGUUGGUGGGGUAAAGGCUCACCAAGCCGACGAUCGGUAGCUGGUCUGAGAGGACGACCAGCCACACUGGAACUGAGACACGGUCCAGACUCCUACGGGAGGCAGCAGUGGGGAAUUUUGGACAAUGGGCGCAAGCCUGAUCCAGCCAUGCCGCGUGCGGGAAGAAGGCCUUCGGGUUGUAAACCGCUUUUGUCAGGGAAGAAACGCUCUGGGUUAAUACCUCGGGGUAAUGACGGUACCUGAAGAAUAAGCACCGGCUAACUACGUGCCAGCCGCCGCGGUAAAAC
rnacentral:rRNA from 1 species